UAUAUUUGAGUAUGUGAUGUAUGUUAAUUUUUGGCAUUAAUGGAGAUAGUUUAAUUCUAUCAAAUGUAA
rnacentral:tRNA from 1 species